UCCCUGGUGGCUCAAAUGGUAAAGAAUCUGCCUGCAGUGCAGGAGAUCCAGGUUCAACCCCUGGGUUGGGAU
rnacentral:tRNA from 1 species